GGGCGCGUAGCUCAGUUGGUAGAGCAACGGACUUUUAAUCCGUUGGUCGCAGGUUCGACCCCUGUCGCGCUCA
rnacentral:tRNA from 1 species